AACGAACGCUGGCGGCAGGCUUAACACAUGCAAGUCGAACGCCCCGCAAGGGGAGUGGCAGACGGGUGAGUAACGCGUGGGAAUCUACCCAGAUCUACGGAACAACUGAGGGAAACUUCAGCUAAUACCGUAUACGCCCUACGGGGGAAAGAUUUAUCGGGAAAGGAUGAGCCCGCGUUGGAUUAGCUGGUUGGUGGGGUAAAGGCCUACCAAGGCGACGAUCCAUAGCUGGUCUGAGAGGAUGAUCAGCCACAUUGGGACUGAGACACGGCCCAAACUCCUACGGGAGGCAGCAGUGGGGAAUAUUGGACAAUGGGCGCAAGCCUGAUCCAGCCAUGCCGCGUGAGUGAUAAAGGCCCUAGGGUUGUAAAGCUCUUUCACCGGUGAAGAUAAUGACGGUAACCGGAGAAGAAGCCCCGGCUAACUUCGUGCCAGCCGCCGCGGUAAGAC
rnacentral:rRNA from 1 species